AUACAACUCUGAGCGGUGGAUCACUUGGCCUGUGGAUGCUAUGAAGACCAUAGCUAAAUGUGAGAACGGCAGCGGGUCGUUGCUAUAUGCGCUGUCUCCUGUCUCUCAUAUGUCGAAUGCACAUUGCGCCCUGCCAGCGCGGUCGAUGGUGGAUCGGAUGAAAUCUGUGCGGCCCGUAGUCAAACGUGAGGAGGCGCAAGCAGCCGAGUGUGCGGUACGUGGCUGCCUCAUAGUAAUCCGUUCGACUGCAGAGGUGGGGGCACUUCUAGUCGAGUGUGGU
rnacentral:rRNA from 1 species